CCGGCCCCCGCCCCAGCCCUCACGCCACCGGGGCCGGCGGCUAGGCGGCCCCGCCCCCGGGCUAGGCAGGGCGCCUGGGGGCUUCCCAGCCACAGGCCAUUCACGUCAACCUCCAGGCAUCCUCCGCGGCGGGCCGGACCGGGCCGGCGGAGGGGAGCGGAAGCCCACCGGGGCUGGCCCGCCGCUGACCCGCCGCCUCCGUCUGCCUCCUCCCGGGCUCUGGGCCCAGCGCGCCCAGAUGCCGGGCAGGACCCCUCCGCCCGCUGCUGGAACACCAAUAGCAGCGUUGGAGCCUCUGGGCCGGAGGAACUGGGGCCUCCACCGACACCUGCUUCUUCCCUCACCUCGCAGCCUUCCACACCUGUUGAUCUGACCUCUGCCCCGCUGCCGCCCAGGAGUAACCUAAGGCUUUUGGCCUGAUUCGAGCUCACUCCGUCUAAACCUCUAAAUGCGGUGCGAAAAAAUCCUGGGGAAUGUGCCAUGCAAAGCCUGGGCAUUUCAAGUGCUUUUCUGGAUUCGCAUCAACUCCUCUUUACAGGCAUCUUUAUCCGGAAUUCAGCUCGUCCCAAACCCCACGUGGUGUAGCUCUGCUUGUGUUUUUGAAUCCCGGGGCCUCUUUGAAUCAGAAGCCCUUUGUAUAGAGAUAAGUAUCCUUUAGGCCAGAAUCAGCCUCCAUUUUUUUCGCAGUCCCAUUUCCUACCCGUAAUACUUUCUUCUGAUUUUAAAGCCAUUUGAUAGAGAAGGGACAGGGAACAGAACCUUCGCCCCCCGCCUGAGCAGCUGGUAGACUAGAUAUCUUCCAAACAUUAUCUCAUUUACUUCCCUGGAGUUACAAAUAGGUAGAUUUCAUGUCCGUUGAGGGGUGAGAAAGCUGAAACUUUGAGACUUAAGAAUCCUGGCCGAGGUCAGCCUCCUCCGAAGCUUCAUCUCUUGCCACCACUUUCUGGUGCACACCUAGGACAGAUUUCAAUCCCUGAGAUCCCAGGAUGAAACCUAUGUUUGCCAAAUACCAGCUACUGUGCCAGAAGAGAUCAUGGAACCAGGUGUGGAAAGCUGCUUGAGAAGAGGAGCCAAAACAUCAUAGUUGAACCGUCCUGGAAUAGAAACUCGCCCUGAAUUCUUUCUUGUGUGAAAUCCAAGAGCCCUCUCUUGGGGUUGGAUCGGGACCCUGUUCCUGUAACAAGUCCACAAUGCCAGAGAAUUAAAGAGAACCACAAAGUUUCUGCCAUUUCAGUUCCUGUUAUCGUGCUUUGAGGUGCACUGAACUGCAGCAAACCCAGGGGAUCCAAGGCUACGUUGAAAAGCCUUUGACCACAGUGCAGGGAGCAGAAGACAUUAAUGACGUGAUGUCGACACAGCCCGCACUCAGGAUCCUCCAGGAAAAGAACACAGAGAUAACCCCGGAUCGAUGGUUUGGUUAAACAAAUCUGGGUUUGAGACCACUGUGCCGCUCUCCAGAACAGUAGCAGAAAAAUGUAAGGAAAUCCUUCCAUUGUUACUGACUCGUUUCCUUUUCAGAACUGGAAUAUACCUUUUAACAUGCAUUGCCUUAUACUUAAAUCUAUACAUUCAGCAUUCUUAUAUAAGUCACGACUCUUUCUUUCUUUCUUUGUUUGCAAUAGAAAAGUCCCUAAG
rnacentral:lncRNA from 10 species